GAUGAACGCUAGCGGCAGGCUUAACACAUACAAGUCGAGGGGUAUAGUAGCAAUACUAGAGACCGGCGCACGGGUGCGUAACGCGUAUGCAACCUACCUUUUACAGAGGGAUAGCCCAGAGAAAUUUGGAUUAAUACCUCAUAGUGUUAUUAGAUGGCAUCAUUUGAUAACUAAAGUUCCAACGGUAAAAGAUGGGCAUGCGUCCUAUUAGCUAGAUGGUAAGGUAACGGCUUACCAUGGCUACGAUAGGUAGGGGUCCUGAGAGGGAGAUCCCCCCACACUGGUACUGAGACACGGACCAGACUCCUACGGGAGGCAGCAGUGAGGAAUAUUGGACAAUGGGCGCAAGCCUGAUCCAGCCAUGCCGCGUGCAGGAAGAAGCAUCAUGGUGUGUAAACUGCUUUUGUACGGGAAGAAACACUCCUACGUGUAGGAGCUUGACGGUACCGUAAGAAUAAGGAUCGGNUAACUCGUGCCAGCAGCCGCGGU
rnacentral:rRNA from 1 species